CGCGUAGGCGGCGCGAGAAGUCGAGUGUGAAAGCCCCGGGCUCAACCCGGGAGGUGCGUUCGAGACUCUUGUGCUGGAGUUCGGGAGAGGAGCGUGGAAUUCCCAGUGUAGAGGUGAAAUUCGUAGAUAUUGGGAAGAACACCGGUGGCGAAGGCGGCGCUCUGGACCGAGACUGACGCUGAGGCGCGAAAGCGUGGGGAGCAAACA
rnacentral:rRNA from 1 species